GCUACACACGUGCUACAAUGGUAAUGACAAUGGGUUAAUCCCAAAAAGUUAUCUCAGUUCGGAUUGGGGUCUGCAACUCGACCCCAUGAAGUCGGAAUCGCUAGUAAUCGCGUAACAGCAUGACGCGGUGAAUACGUUCCCGGGCCUUGUACACACCGCCCGUCACACCAUGGGAGUUGGGUUUACCCGAAGGCCGUGCGCCAACCUUUCGAGGGGGCAGCGGACCACGGUGAGCUCAGCGACUGGGGUGAAGUCGUAACAAGGUAGCCGUAGGGGAACCUGCGGCUGGAUCACCUCCUU
rnacentral:rRNA from 9 species